UUUUUUUUUUUGGGUUUUUUUUUUUUCUGUCUGCCAUGAAAUCGAUACAGUAAUUUCAUUUCUCAGUCAUAAAUGAAAUGAGCUGUAAAGCAAAGUUGGGUGUUUAAGCCAGAGUGAAAGAAUGAAUUGUUCUGAUGAGGGACGUUAACGAAGGGAUUAAAUGUUCCUGCGAACAUCCCCAGGCCACCCCAACUGUCACUGGGUGGUUUUGGGGCUCCCUGUCCUGCCUGGGUGGGCACAGAACUUCACUGAGCCCCACCAGGGACCCUCCAGACAUGGAGAUACUCCAGGGGGUUUGGGGCACCGGUGGCCAAGGGAAAGAGCGGAGGGAAGUCCUUGUGGGAUGGGCCCCUCAUCUCCUCAUCCUCAUCUCCUCUUCCUUCCUCUUCCUCAUCUCCUCAUCCUCAUGUCCUCAUGGUCAUCCCCUCAUCUCCUCAUCUUUUCCUCAUGGCAACGCUGCCACAUGGGGAUAGACUGAAAGGAAUGGGAAAACCAACCCCAAACCAAGGAGCUAUUUGUUACCAGCAGCCUUUCAGCUGACCCAGAGCAAUGGGGGUUUUUAUUUAUGCUGGGUUUUUUCACGGGGACACAACCCCUGCUGCUUUCUGAGGAGGGUGGGCAGAGGUUUCCGCUCCGGGGGCCGGGCAGUUCCCAGCUCAGGGGAUGUUUUUCCCUGCCACGGAAGGCAGGAGCUUUGCCCAGCUCCACACCAUUAAAGGUUAAGCCCAGAAUUUGGGUUUUGCUUUCCUGCCCACAGCCUGGCAGCCCGACCUCGGGAGCCCUCCUCUCAUGGCAAGCGCCCAAGACCCCCAGCUCCCCUCCUGCCCUUGCUCCAACAUUUAUUUUCCAGUGGAAAAUAACCCAGCGCUGAUCCAGAGCACUUUGACAAGUCCAAAAAUAUGAGGCCAUAUUAUCUUUAAACCAGUUUUUAAAAGCCCCACAGUGAAAGCCCUACUGGGGCAGGAGAAACUCCAGCCAAGUUCCCCAUGUCCGCCCCCUGCUCCAGUUGUAUUCCCCUGGAAAUCCUCGCAAAGAAAAACACGAGGCCUGAAAAAAAAUUUGGUUUUCAUUAAAACCCUCGAAUGUGAGGGGUUCUGUAGCUUUCAAUGGGGCUUUGAUUCCUAUAGAUGAUGGAAUGUUUUCAGAACAUUUAAAAAAUGUUCUCCACCUUUCUAUCUUCUAUCAGCGGGGAACUGCACCGGGUUUUUCUGCCUGAUAGAAGUGGCGAGGGCUGGAGGCAGAUCCAAACCCUUUCCUUUAUUUACCUUGAGGUUUCGGUUUAAAAAUGUGAUGAUAUUUUCUUGUGGCUUUGGAACCAGAGGAGAUAAUCCACGUCGGGGGAAAAGAAAUGGGCGGAUAAACGCUGCAGGAAUUUUUUUUCAAGGGGGAUUUUAAUUAUUAAUUAUUUUUUUUUUCCAUGGAGAGGAAGCGGGGUCACUCAGCACAUGCAGGUACCCACGUACCUCUCUGAGCCCUUUCUGGGGGAAGCUGAGAUGCAUCUCCAACCUUCUACAUCAUCUCCAGUUUUGUGGAGAUUGCCUGAAGAGAUGAUUUUAUUGCUGUGUUCCAUCCCUGCUCCUGGGUGCACCAGCUGGUGGCUUUUCUAAAUCUCCUUUUAUAGGAGACCAGCUUUUUAAUGUCAUUUAAUUCCAUUUUUUUGAGUGAGUGUAAAGUGGGUUCCUGGCCUUGGCAUUUUUGAGGGUGAUAAAGAGCUGGAGGGAGCUGAGGUGCCCCUUCCUAUCACCCCCAACCUCACCUGGUGCCCUCGAUGCCCGAGGAGCCCCAGGGUGCUGCAGGUGCUCAAAAGCCAGGCUGGGACAGCCCCGUGUCCCCUCCAGGGCCAGGGUUCCUUCCCAGCCCGGGGAAGGAACCAUCCCCAGGGCUCUUUGCUUCAUUCCAGCUUUUCCUGACGCUGUGUCCGAGCCACCACCCAGUGCCACCCCCAGACCCCCCAGCGCUCCCCUCCUUGCACAAACCCCACCCCAGCUGGCAUUUUGGGGUGCCUUUGUGCUCGUUCCUGCAGGAAACCCCAAAGCAAACCCCUUUCCUGCACUCGGUGGGGCUCUGGGGAGGAGGAAGAGGAGGAGAGGGAGGUGCGAGCCCAGCCCUGGUGCCGAAUUUGGGCACCAUGCCGGGCCGGUCAGACCGGUCGGGCCGGCUGGGCCGUGCCCGUGGCACCAGACACGCCGUGCUCGCCCCUGCCGCUGUCCCUGCCCCUCCCCAGGUGGCAGCUCAGCCUGGGCUCCGUCCCCCAGAAAGGGCCACCCAGGCUGUGGUGGCCCGGUGCCACCGCGGGUGCCCGGCCCCGCUGCCCUGCAGCACCUGCAGCGCUCCCAGCCUGGCUCUAUCCCAAUUCCUUCCGGGGGGAUUCCAGGGAUUUGGAUAAACCCCAGCGAGCUGAGCACCGAGUGCCAAAGCCCGGCUCCAGCCCUGCCCUGCUGACCCAGCGCCUUGGGAAGAGGCUUUGAGCUGGGCUUGGAGCUGGGCUUGAGCUGGGCUUGGAGCUGGGCUUGAGCUGGGUCUGGAACUGGGCUUGGAGCUGGAGCUUGAGCUGGGCUUGGAGCUGGGCUUGGAGCUGGAGCUGGAGUUGGGUUUUGGGCUGGUUCUGGAGCUGGAGCUGCUCCUGGAGUCAGGGUCCCUGUGGGUCUUGGGUCUGAGCAGCAGCAAUCUGGAGGGGCUGGGAUGUUCCAUGGGAUGUGAUUCCAUGGAUGUGAUUCCAUGGAUGAGGUUCCAUGGAUGAGUUCCAUGGAUGAGGUUCCAUGGAUGAGGUUCCAUGGAUGUGAUUCCAUGGGAUGUGAUGCCAUGGAUGAGGUUCCAUGGAUGAGGUUCCAUGGGAUGUGAUUCCAUGGAUGAGGUUCCAUGGAUGAGGUUCCAUGGGAUGUGGUUCCAUGGAUGAGGUUCCAUGGAUGAGGUUCCAUGGAUGAGGUUCCAUGGAUGAGGUUCCAUGGGAUGGAUUCCAUGGAUGAGGUUCCAUGGGAGCCUGGCCACGGGGCUGCACUUCC
rnacentral:lncRNA from 1 species